GCAUUCCCCGGUCCCCUCCGCGCUCCUCCUCUCCUCUCGUCCACACCGAAGCUGUCGCCUCCUCCGUUCCCCGUCCCGCGUGCCCGAGCCGCCGCCUCCUCCUUCGCGCCCGAGCCGCCCCGACGACGCCACCCCCGCUCUCCCUCCGCUCCCCCCUUCCCUAACUCCCUCGCACUCCUCGCCUCCUCCCCGCCACCUCGCGACUCCGCUGCCUCCCCGCCGCCUCUCGCCUCUGCCUCAUCUCUCGGCGCCACCGCCCGAAUCCACGCUGCCGCCACCGGAUUCGAGCCGCCACCGCCCGGAUCCGCCUCCCCGACGCCUGCCACCGCCCUUCAUUGACACCGCUGCCACCAUCUCAACCGCGCCGCUUCCGACCGAGGUGAGCCCACCCCGCUGAUGAGCUGCUGCACCAGGUGGAUGCGCGCCACCGGAUCCGAGCCGCCAUGGCGGCGGCGCAGCAGAAGCCGGGCAAGCGGCUGGGCGGCAUGGCGGAUGCGCUCGCCAUCGCUGCCGACCUCAGAUUCCCCGCUCUGAACAUACCUCUGAAGUGUUGUAGGGUUCUCCGCAAGAUGACAGUGGGGUUCUCAAGGCUGUGGAAAAUGUGCACGCCAUGAUAGACAGGGAAGCAGCAGAUGGUAUCCACCCUAAGAAUAUAUAUGUUUGUGGGUUUAGCCAAGGAGGUGCUCUGACAUUAGCAAUUGUUUUGCUCUACUGAAGAUGCUAGGCGGAGGUGCCAUUUUCAGCGGGUGGGUGCCUUUCGGUUCGUCAGUCAUUCAGAGGAUUUCACCUGAAGCAAGGAAGGCAGACUGCAGUCACUUGUCAGACUUGCUGAAAAAACUAACCCAAUAGAUUAAGGAAAGUACUGGCCCCGCAGUUAUUCAACCUUGAAGAAUGUUAGAUGGACCAUCUGGUCUCUGCUGUAAGAAUAUAAUUUUGAAAGAAAUUUGGAUUCUUAAUAUGGUCUAGCUGACAGAACGGUAUUAUUUGAAGAUGGUCAAGCUGGUCCACCAUUUUUGCAAAGUGCAGGUGUUAAUUGUGAAUUUAAGGCAUAUCCAGAUCUUGGUCACUCAAUUUCCCAGGAUGAGCUGCAAUAUCUUGAGUCCUGGAUCAGAAGUCGUCUUAAGGCCUCUCAGGAGAAGGACGGUUAAUUUAGUCCGCCAUCGCUUCCCCAGUAUAGCAACUUGGCGAAUGCCGCCAUGUUUGUAUUCAAUCUCAUAUUUUAGCUAAUGGUUUCUUGUGGUUAGAUUUCGUUUCCCGUGGCUGAUAGCUGAUACAUAUGGAAAACAUUAUUGAGGCAUAAAACUCUAGGUGUAUGCAGUUGUCUUUAGCAUCUUUACUUAAUUUUGUGCAUUGCCAUUUUCUUCUUCCAUGGACCUAACUGUUAUUGAUUUAAUAUUGGAGUUUUGUUUCCAACCUGAAUAUUGGAACUUUUUUUUUUUACAUUGGGGAUGUUUUUACUAGUUCUCUUGCAGGAUCAUAUUGAGGUGGUGAAAUAUGGCAGAAUGUCUGCUUCUAUAGGAGUCAUAUUGUUUUUUAUGUAACCUGAAAACAAUUUCUUGCAUCAGCCUUCCUGUGCUUGUUUUAUUCUCGGUCACAGUGAGAGGGCAUUUAGUUCGGUAUGUAUCAUAUGGCAUAAAUUAAUCAACCAUCUAUUUUAUAGCACGGUUUUCUUCUGGAUGAAGUCCAUAACCUCACCUAGAUGAAUGAAGACGAUAGCAAUACUGAGGCACAUUCAGGCUUCCAGCGGUAAAUUCACCAUUGUGUGUGAGGCAUAUGAAUUGACAGGUCUUAUUAUAUUCAUCAUUGCACUCUGUAAUGACAUGCAUUAGAUAUAUAUAUGAUGACGUAGCCUCUCAUUGGCUAUUGGAGCUUUACGACAAUAUGAAUAUCGACAAUUUCUUGCAUUUGUGGAGCUGGGAGCUGACACAGUUUUGUACAUCGAGCUUUAUAGUGAUAUCUUCAUUUUCUUUUUGAUAUUUGCAAUGUAACCAAGUUUGAAUGUUGUGCAUAAGGCUGAAAUCAAAUAUGGGAGUGUUGAGUGGGAUGGAUUAGUUUAGUUAAUGACUGCAGUAGAAUCCUAAAAGAUGUUAGUGUCGAGCCAAUUUCUACACAGAAAGCAGACUUUACUUUUCUGUUUUAGAUGUUAGUUUUCUUCUUUUUAUUAUUUGUAGUUUCGGGAUUGCAUAUCAGGAUACUUCUUGGUAGAUGUGAUCAUUUUGAUAUUGUCUGCUCUUUCAUCCACCAUGUAUGUAGGUUAAGCAAAUGAUGAUACCAGCAAACAAAUGAGAAACAGGCUUCUGCAGCUUGUUCUCAUGCUGAUAUAUUAUGCUUUUAUUGCGACUACUUUUGGCAAUCCCGUAGCAACAGCUUUCUUAUCUCAAAAUUGGAAUUAAUGAUCAUGAUCUAUGAAAUUCUCUUUUUAUUUGUAGUUAUAUAUAUAUGUACCUAUCAAUAUAUCUUAUUAUAAAGUAUUAAUAGCCAUACCAUAUUCCUCUUGUCUUAUGUUAUUUUGGAAUCUAAAGUAUUUAUAGCGGUAAUACUAUCGUGCGUUAUGUUAUUUUCAAUAUGUUUCACCUGGUUAAAUAUAUUAUCUCGUGAAAAAUUUUAGCACCCAUUGCAACGCAUGGGCAGAUAGCUAGUCUAAUUCAGAAA